rnacentral:lncRNA from 1 species
GCAUGUAAAAUGGAGCGAUUUACUUCAGAUCGUAGAGAAGUCGUGUUUCUGCUUCUUGACUACUGAUAUUCCGAACAUGAUUUUUUUUGCAUGGUCGAUUACAUUAUGCAUGGUAAGCUGUUAAUUUAUUCCUGGCAAUUAGGUGCGUAUUCGAUCAUUGUAUCUAUAGUUGCAAACCGGCCGGGCACGAGCGGACGAGCCCUUCUGGACUCUUGACACACAAAAGGGCAAACUUGAGCAAACACGAAUUUGCUCAUAUACACACAGGCAAGGCAUGUACUUCAUUUAGUUCAUAAAUUUGCCUUCCAGAUCUGAUCGCACAAUGCAUGCAACACACGGCAGCUGAGACGCGACUAGAACAAGAAAGAACAAACUAAAAGCACGUGGAUCGAGACUAGUCUAGCGAGCUACUGUAGCAACCAUACUACCACACACGAGACACGUACCUUCUGCAGCAUAUUAAGGCUAAAAGCUAGACGGUAGAACUAAUGCACAUAGAGCCCGCGCACACAGCUAGCUAGCUAAUCGAACACCCCAACCCUGUGAAGAAACGCGAGAUUGCAUCUCGCGGUCACAAAAGCAGGAUAUGAGUUUGGAGUUCCAUAUUAUUGCUAGCUAUAUAUGGCCGGGCGGUGAACCGAUAUCUAGAGGUUGUGUGCGGCGAAGAAGGCCUCGACGUCGGCGCCGGCGUAGUAGUCCCCGUUGCGCUGCUGCGAGACGGGCCCCGGCGCGGGCCUCCUCUUCCUGGGCGGCUCAGGGCAGCCCACGCCGCCACCGGCCGCCUGCUGCUGGGCCUUGUUGCUGCUCGGCGUCCUGCACCCCGACGCCUCCUUCUUCUCGGCCUCGCCGCCGCACCACUGCUCAACCGGGAGACCCAUAUGAUGUGGGGAGAGCGUAGUACGUUGAAGGCGAUCGAGUUUGUGGUGUGGCUGGACAGAUGCCGCCCGGCCCGGGUUGCCGGGGGUUUAUAUAGACGGAUCGUGGAUGAAUGGCGAGCAAGAACGUGGG